rnacentral:tRNA from 1 species
GGGCGUUUAGCGCAGUGGUAGCGCGUUCGCUUUGCAUGCGAAAGGUCCGGGUUUCGAUCACCCGAAUGUCCA